GAUGAAGAACGCAGCGAAAUGCGAUAAGUAAUGUGAAUUGCAGAAUUCAGUGAAUCAUCGAAUCUUUGAACGCACCUUGCGCCCUUUGGCCAUUCCGAAGGGCAUGCCUGUUUGAGUAUCAUGAACACCUCAACUCUUCAUGGUUUUCCAUGAUGAGCUUGGACUUUGGGGGUCUUGCUGGCCUGUGGGUCGGCUCCUCUCAAAUGAAUCAGCUUGCCGGUUUUUGGUGGGCAUCACAGGUGUGAUAACUAUCUACGCGUGUGGUUUUCCACCAGGGUAACCUUCAGCAGUGGAGGUUCACUGGAGCUUACAAAUGUCUCUCCUCUGUGAGGACAGCCCUUUGAAUGUUUGAUCUCAAAUCAGGUAGGACUACCCGCUGAACUUAAGCAUAUCAAUAAGCGGAGGA
rnacentral:misc_RNA from 1 species